rnacentral:lncRNA from 1 species
UUUCUUCUCUUUUUAUUUUUUAAUUUUUUUUAGAGACGGGUCUCACUGUGUUGCUCAGGCUGGUCUUGAACUCCUGGGCUCAAGCGAUCCUCCCACCUCGGGUUCCCAAAGUGCUGGGAUGACAGGCGUGAGCCCCAGGCCCAGCUGAGUUUGCCACUUUCUAAAUGAGGCUGUGUGCUAUGCAGUAUUAAGAGUUUCCAUCCCUUUGAUUUUUCACUGGGAAAAUCUAGAAAUUGUGAGCUCUGGGGAUGAGGUGAACUUGGCAUGGAGCUCCGCCAGCCCCUACAGGAGGCACGCAGAUGCCAGACUCGGCUUCCCGUGCCUGUGCAGACACAAAGCUGUGGUUCACGGGGAGCUGCUUUUCACGCGUUUGCGCCUUCAAACGUGGAGAGUGUUGUUAGCUCGGAUUUAUUCAUUCUCGAACAAAUAUCUAUUAAACAUCCCCCAAGCUGAGGAAACUGAGAUUCAAGGAGUUGGGAGACCUCACCCACAGUCACGUGGAUCCUAACUGGCUGAGAUGAGUUUUGGGCUCCUGCUGGGCUGUUGGGACCCAGAGGUCGGCGACAAGGUCACCCAGGUCUCAGGUCGGUCCCUGUACCUUUAUCUCAUCCCCCUCCUCUGCAUUCCUGAAACCCUUCCCAGGACAGCUCCCCUGCCCACCCCGCCCUUGACCUCACCUUUUCCAUGAGGGACUCCACAGCAUGGCGGGUCACCCAGCAGCGGCCCCCGGACACCUCUCCCUCCUGGAUGAUGUCCCCUCUCUGGCUCCAGGCCUCAUACUCCUCCUGGCUCAAGUACUCUACAGGUGACAUUGGACGGGGCCAUCAUAGACCAGCUGUGUGGGGGUCUGGGGGAGUCCCAUGGUAAACACCCCUGUCCCCGUGAACCCUGCCAGCACUGGGAGAAGCUCUUCUUAGGAUGUCCACUUUACAAACCUGACCCUGCACACCCCGCUCUGUGCCCUGCACCUCCAUCCUGAACUAUCUGGACACAGCAGUGCCUCCUGCCACCCUGCCAGCACCGAGCCCCUCUUCCAGCCCACCCCAGUGGGGUCCAGGCCCCUCCCUGGAGCCUCACCUUGCGGGUCACGGUGCACUGCUGAGUCAUGUCCUGGAUGAGGGCUAUGAGCUGCUGCUGAGCCCUGCAGAGACCAGCAGAGGCCCUGACCCAGCUGCCUCCUGCCAGACAGGCAGCAGAAGCCGUCCACCCUCCUGAGAAGCCCCACGGCCUCCUCCAGGGUCGUGUCCUCCAGGACUGCCUUGAACAAGGGCUCUGAGGCUUCGUAAUCAACCUGAGGGCAAGUCGAGAAGGUCAGUCUCUUUCCCCCGGGACUCUGAAUCCAGCCAGAAGACAGAAGGCGCUGAGGGCACUGAGGCGAGGCGCGGGCCAGCCCUGCCGUAGGACCACUGCCUGCACGCCUUGGUCAAAACAAAGCCACACACCAGAGCCUCUGUGGGGCCUUCACACCUCUAGUGAUGCGUGCUACACAUAGUGCUGGCCAGAGAGUCAACUGCCAACCCUUCCCCAGUCGAGAUCGGGGGUUCUUUGUGAUAAGCACUUUCCUGUCUUGAAAAAGAAAAGAAAAGAAAAGAAAGAACCUCGGUUCUAGAACAUUCAAGAGCAUUCUAGAUAGAGGUUUCUUAGCCUUGGGAUCAUUCUGUGCUGCUGCGGGCUAUACCGGGCCCUACAGGAUGCUGAGUGGCAUCCCUGGCCUUCACCUACCCGAUGCCCUGGCUCUCCACCCACAGCCUUCCCCACUGUGAAGGCCCACCCCCCAGGGCUUCCACCAUCCACUUCAUUUCUUCUCAAUAUUGUUCUAAGCUUAGGAGAGUAGAUAUUUUUACAAUAAAAAUUAAGAUGUGUUUUAACACCAUUAGAAUCUAAUUGGCCCCCUUAGGAUAUCGGGACUAUCUCCCUGAACAUCGUCAAGGGGCUCUGUUGCUUGAACUACCUCAGAGCUGAUAAUUGGGAACCUUAAGAGCAGGGUUCCCCAACCCCUGGGCCACAUACUGGUACUGGUCCAUGGUCCAUCAGGACCCGGGUCACACAGCAGGAGGGGCGUGGUGGGCAAGUGAGCAUUACGGCCUCAGCUCCACCUCCUGUCAGCUCAGCACAGCAGUAGAUUCUCAGAGGAGCAUGAGCCCUAUCGUGAACUGUGCAAGUGAGGGAUCUAGGUUUCACGCUCCUUAUGAGAAUCUAAUUCCUGAUGAUCUGUUACCGUCUCCCAUCACCCCCAGAUGGGACCGUCUAGUUGCAGGAAAACAAGCUCAGGGCUCCCACUGAUUCUGAAUUAUGGUUCAGUGUAUGAUUCUUUCAUUACAUAUUACAGUGUAAUAAUAAUAGAAAUAAA